AGAGCGAACGCUGGCGGCAGGCCUAACACAUGCAAGUCGAGCGCCGUAGCAAUACGGAGCGGCAGACGGGAGAGUAACACGUGGGAACGUACCUUUUGGUUCGGAACAACUGAGGGAAACUUCAGCUAAUACCGGAUAAGCCCUUACGGGGAAAGAUUUAUCGCCAAAAGAUCGGCCCGCGUCUGAUUAGCUAGUUGGUGAGGUAAUGGCUCACCAAGGCGACGAUCAGUAGCUGGUCUGAGAGGAUGAUCAGCCACAUUGGGACUGAGACACGGCCCAAACUCCUACGGGAGGCAGCAGUGGGGAAUAUUGGACAAUGGGCGCAAGCCUGAUCCAGCCAUGCCGCGUGAGUGAUGAAGGCCCUAGGGUUGUAAAGCUCUUUUGUGCGGGAAGAUAAUGACGGUACCGCAAGAAUAAGCCCCGGCUAACUCGUGCCAGCAGCCGC
rnacentral:rRNA from 1 species